CCCACUAUGCAAGUCGAGCGGUAAGGCCCUUCGGGGUACACGAGCGGCGAACGGGUGAGUAACACGUGGGUAACCUGCCCUGUACUUGGGAUAAGCCUGGGAAACUAGGUCUAAUACCGGAUAUGAACCUUCCCUGCAUGGGUUGGUUGGAAAGUUCCGGCGGUACAGGAUGGACCGCGGCCUAUCAGCUUGUUGGUGGGGUAAUGGCCUACCAAGGCGACGACGGGUAGCCGGCCUGAGAGGGUGACCGGCCACACUGGGACUGAGACACGGCCCAGACUCCUACGGGGAGGCAGCAGUGGGGAAUAUUGCACAAUGGGCGAAAGCCUGAUGCAGCGACGCCGCGUGAGGGAUGACGGCCUUCGGGUUGAAACCUCUUUCAGCAGGGACGAAGCGCAAGUGACGGUACCUGCAGAAGAAGCACCGGCUAACUACGUGCCAGCAGCGCGGUAAUACGUAGGGUGCGAGCGUUGUCCGGAAUUAUUGGGCGUAAAGAGCUCGUAGGCGGUUUGUCGCGUCGGCCGUGAAAAACUUGGGGCUUAACCCCGAGCUUGCGGUCGAUACGGGCAGACUUGAGUUCGGCAGGGGAGACUGGAAUUCCUGGUGUAGCGGUGAAAUGCGCAGAUAUCAGGAGGAACACCGGUGGCGAAGGCGGGUCUCUGGGCCGAUACUGACGCUGAGGAGCGAAAGCGUGGGGAGCGAACAGGAUUAGAUACCCUGGUAGUCCACGCGUAAACGGUGGGUGCUAGGUGUGGGGGACUUCCACGUCCUCCGUGCCGCAGCUAACGCAUUAAGCACCCCGCCUGGGGGAGUACGGCCGCAAGGCUAAAACUCAAAGGAAUUGACGGGGGCCCGCACAAGCGGCGGAGCAUGUGGAUUAAUUCGAUGCAACGCGAAGAACCUUACCUGGGCUUGACAUGCACUGGAACCAGUAGAGAUAUUGGCCCCCUUGUGGCCGGUGUACAGGUGGUGCAUGGCUGUCGUCGCUCGUGUCGUGAGAUGUUGGGGUUAAGUCCCGCAAGAGCGCAACCCUCGUUCCAUGUUGCCAGCGCGUAAUGGCGGGGACUCAUGGGAGACUGCCGGGGUCAACUCGGAGGAAGGUGGGGAUUGACGUCAAGUCAUCAUGCCCCUUAUGUCCAGGGCUUCACACAUGCUACAAUGGCCGGUACAAAGGGCUGCUAAGCCGUGAGGUGGAGCGAAUCCCAUAAAGCCGGUCUCAGUUCGGAUCGGGGUCUUGCAACUCGACCCCGUGAAGUCGGAGUCGUAGUAAUCGCAGAUCAGCAACGCUGCGGUGAAUACGUUCCCGGGCCUUGUACACACCGCCCGUCACGUCACGAAAGUCGGUAACACCCGAAGCCCGUGGCCCAACCCGCAAGGGGGGAGCGGUUUAUU
rnacentral:rRNA from 1 species